rnacentral:ncRNA from 1 species
UAUAAAGAGUGUGGGAGGGACAGGCCCGUUGAACACACAGCAACCUCUCGAAAGGUGCUAAAUCCUGCAAGGAAACUUGAAAGAUA